UGGGGAAUAUUGCACAAUGGGCGCAAGCCUGAUGCAGCAACGCCGCGUGAACGAUGAAGGUCUUCGGAUCGUAAAGUUCUGUUGCAGGGGAAGAUAAUGACGGUACCCUGUGAGGAAGCCCCGGCUAACUACGUGCCAGCAGCCGCGGUAAUACGUAGGGGGCUAGCGUUAUCCGGAUUUACUGGGCGUAAAGGGUGCGUAGGUGGUCUUUCAAGUCGGUGGUUAAAGGCUACGGCUCAACCGUAGUUAGCCUCCGAAACUGGAAGACUUGAGUGCAGGAGAGGAAAGCGGAAUUCCCAGUGUAGCGGUGAAAUGCGUAGAUAUUGGGAGGAACACCAGUAGCGAAGGCGGCUUUCUGGACUGCAACUGACACUGAGGCACGAAAGCGUGGGUAGCAAACAGG
rnacentral:rRNA from 1 species